rnacentral:rRNA from 1 species
UACGUAGGGUGCGAGCGUUAAUCGGAAUUACUGGGCGUAAAGCGUGCGCAGGCGGUUUUGUAAGACAGGUGUGAAAUCCCCGGGCUUAACCUGGGAACUGCAUUUGUGCCUGCAAGGCUAGAGUAUGGCAGAGGGGGGUGGAAUUCCACGUGUAGCAGUGAAAUGCGUAGAUAUGUGGAGGAAUAACGAUGGCGAAGGCAGCACCCUGGGAUAACACUGACGCUCAUGUACGAAAGCGUGGGUAGCAAACAGG